rnacentral:rRNA from 1 species
UACGGGGGGGGCAAGCGGUUGUUCGGAAUUACUGGGCGUAAAGGGCUCGUAGGCGGCCAACUAAGUCGGAUGUGAAAUCCCCAGGCUCAACCUGGGAACUGCAUCCGAUACUGGAUGGCUUGAAUUCGGGAGAGGGAUGCAGAAUUCCAGGUGUAGCGGUGAAAUGCGUAGAUAUCUGGAGGAAUACCGGUGGCGAAGGCGGCAUCCUGGACCGACAUUGACGCUGAGGAGCGAAAGCGUGGGGAGCAACAGAGU